GAAGGAGCUGACAAGUCAAAUACUUAUCACGGACUGUUACUGUAGACACAGAGAGAAACAGAGAAGAUUGUAGAAAAUGGCGGAGGAGAACAAGAAGAAGAAGGUGAUGGUGGCCGUCGAUGAGAGCGAGUGUAGUCAUUACGCCCUUCAGUGGGCCCUCCAACAUCUUACCCACACCAUCGUCGAUUCCCAUCUUGUCAUCUUCACCGUUCAGCCCUUUGUCAAUUCUGGUUUUGCCUUGGCCGCCACCUAUGGCACUGCUCCUGUUGAAUUGACGGCAUCCCUCCAAGAUAACCAGAAGAAGAUUGCAUUGGCUUUGUUGGAUAAAGCUAAGGAAAUCUGCGCCAAGCAUGGGAUUGUGGCAGAGACAAUUACGGAAAUUGGGGAUCCUAAAGAGACAAUAUGUGAAGCUGUGGAAAAGCUCAACAUUGAAUUACUAGUGUUAGGCAGCCACAGUCGUGGGGCCAUCGGAAGUUAGCAUUAGAACCAGCACGACUGUGGAAAAGAAGAAAAUAGACAAGUCUGUGCAAAUUCCAUUCUCUCAUGGCAUUUCUGGGAAGCGUCAGCAAUUACUGUGUUCAUCAUGCCAAAUGCCCUGUUUUGGUUGUGAAGAAACCAGUUUGAUCAAUUUGUUCUUAAUACGCUAUGAAGCUAGAUCAUCAAUCCCAGUUUGUAGAUAUAUAAAUGAUUUUUAAUAAUAUUACCAACUUAAUGUAAAUGGUGAAUUAACUUUUAUUUUUGCGUAUGUUGUUUUCAUAUUAUUUUACAUAGAUAAAUAAAUCUUGUAUAAACGUAUACUUUUAAGUUCAAUUAAUUUGGCUUCUCUUAUAGUAUGAAA